GGCCGGUGAUGUUAGAAAAAUAUUUGCUACUCUUGAUGGGGGGUGUAUUUCUUCAUCCUUCAUCUGAUGAUUUUAUUCCACCAAGAUCUCUGAGGCC